rnacentral:lncRNA from 1 species
GUUCCAUGACCAGUUCUGAAAAAAUGGAGUUAAAUACAUUUAUCCAAAAAAUGGAUAAAAAUACUAGAUUAUUAUCCUGAUGCACAACAGGAACCUGUUGUGCUGUACUCAUUUUGUUUAGUCACAUGUUCACAAAAAAGAAUUACAAUUAGGAGUAUUUUUUUUAAACAUGAGCAAAAGCGAUAUUGAAGCAGUUAUGGUGUCUGGGGUAAAUACCUGGGGUUCAUCCUCUUGCACCAAGAAAAUUUAGGACACAGACACAUAUGAGGAGUUUAGGAGCAGAGGUUUAAUGGGAAAAGAAAAAGAAAAGAAAACAGCUCUCUCUCUCUCUAGGGAGAGGGAGGAGAUUUCCAAGAGGAAAGGCCAGCUGGCAGCACAUGUGGUGAAUUUUAUAGUCAGGCUCCAGUAGGCGGUGUCUGAUUUAUGUAGAGCUCACAGAUUGGUUCCAUCAGGUGUGACAUUUACAUAGCCCAGGGAAGGCUGGCCACCCUACCCUAAUCUUAUUAUGUAACUGAACUUUCCCCUUGGCCAGGGCCAUCUUGUCUGCUCCUUACUGUACAUGUGGCUGGCAGAGAAGGGAAGGUGGAGCCGCUAUUUUGAACAUGAUUGGCACAACUGCCAGCAUCUAUAUCUGCAGCUUGAUUUUACAGGCUGCUCUUUGUUAGAAAGGAACAUGAUUUGGGGCUACUUUUCAUUAAAAGGAAAACUGUACCGAAGACUUCCAUACCCUCACUAUCUGUUUUAUUUUCUAGGUUUGGGACCUCUGCGUACCUCCUGUGGCUUUAUGGUACCUGGUAUUGUUUCCCCAGACCAUGAGUCUCCAGUGUUGGAGUGCCCACUUCAGAAGUCUGUGUGUUUUGCUUCAUCCUGAGGAUCCCAUCUUGGAUACCACAUUACCUUAAACACUGCCUCAGCCAGGUGAUCAAGGUCAACGUCUACUGUGAUAAGUCAUGGUUUUGGUGUGUACCCUUGAUGUGAUGUGAUAAAAAUGGCACUUUACCUCUGUGGUCUUCCUCUGAAAAAUCCCGUAACAGCAGCCUAAUCAUGAGAAGCAUAUCAACAAAACUCAGACUCAGGGACAUUCUACAAAAUACCAGGCUGUCCCUCCCUGAAAUUGUCAAGUUCACCAAAAACAAGGUGAAUCUAAGAAACCUGUUACAGCCAAGAGGAGCCUAAGAAGACAUGAGGACUAAAUAUAACAUGGAAUUCGGGAUAGGAUUGUGCUACAGAAAAUGUAUGUGCUAAUGUGAGAUGUUAACAGUUGGAGAAACUCAGUUUUGGGUAUAAGGAAUUCUCUGUACUAUGUUUAUCUAAAAACAAUUCCAUGGUGAGCAAACUUAAGCAUAGAAAUGUUAAAUAAAUUGUCCAAAAUAGAGAAGUAAAUAGCAGUGCCAGGUUUCAAGCAUAAGAAUCAUCAACUCUGAACUUUAAACACAGCUCUGUAUGGUACUUUUGUUUAUAUCAAUGCCUAGAUAGAUAAAUAGGUAGAUAGAUAAUUUCCAAGUGCUAGAAACAAAAAAGGAACUAAAACUGAUAAAGAAUAUAAAUGAGGCCAGGCAGGGUGGCUCACACCUGUAAUCCCAGCAUUUUGGGAGGCCGAGGCAGGCAGAUCACUGAAGGUUCGGAGUUCAAGACCAGCCUGGCCAACUGGGGAAACCCUGUCUCUACUAAAAAAAAAAAAAAAUAGCCAGGCAUGGUGGCAUGUGCCUGUGAAGCAAGAGAUGUGAGAGGAAAAACAAAUUUUUCCUCUUUCUUUUGGUAUGGGCAGCUUCCCCCUUGAAUCCCUCCUCACUCCUUGUGAUUUUACCCUGCUCUGUAAGUUUUAUGAGUUUAUAGAUUCCUGUUUUCUGUAACUAGUGUCUGUAAGUCUCUGUAGCACCGUGGAGGUAAUGAGACAUGCUUGAGCAAGCUUAGAUUGCAGCCAUCUGGGCGCCAUAGCGAAGGACACGAGAUAAGGCUGUGCAGGCAUCUUGAGCAAACCUAGAUAACAGCCACCUGGCCUGCACAGCAAGAAUCAUGUGUAAGCUUGAGUUAGGAACCUGUCACAGUUUGAUUAACUGCCUUUGUUCUGCUUCUGUAAGCUUGCUUUCCACACCCCACAAGCUUUGCGCCACUGGCAAGCCACCCUCCUUCAGUUGCAUGAAUAAAAGUCAAGCCCUGUCUUCUUUUGUUGCUCAGCCUCUGGAUAUUAAUCCACUAAGCCAGUGGCAACCUAAAUAAAAUCCUCCUGUUCCACCCAUCUGGUCUCUCCAGUCUCCUCAUUCCUGCAACACCUGCAAUCCCAGCUACAUGGGAGGCUGAGGCAGGAGAAUCACUUGAACCUGGGAGGCAGAGGGCACAGUGAGCCAAGAUGGUGCCACUGCACUCCAUCCUGGGUGACAGAGAGAGACUCAGUCUCAAAAAAAAAAAAAAAAAGAAUAUAAGUGAAUGUUGACCUCAUGGGGACUCACUGGUGUUUCAGACAUCAAGACUAUAGGCUAGAGUUCAAGACCCAGUGAGGAGAUGUGAUAUGAUUUUGUGUGAGGCAAGCAUCAAAAGCAGACACCUGUGUGUAAAGCCCAGAGAUCUGAAGAGCUAACCUGUCUGUGAAAAGGGAAUUAGAUAAAACACAGGCUACCAGUUCACAGAUGCUAGAGAGAGCUUGCUGUCAGCCUAGGGGGAAUUCUCACCAACUGAAAAAUUCCUAUCAGUGUUCAAUGACAUACGACAUUCAUAGAGAUUCUGAAUUGCCCAAGGAGUUUCCAAAUUGUAAUUCUAAUCCAUGAGUUUUGGGCAAUUUAGUGGCUUUGUGAUAAGAAAGGGGAAAUGCAAAACUUCUCUUGUAAGACUCGUGGUGUGAGCUGGUCCUGAAGUUCUUGAUCAUUUUGUUAGCACCCAAACUGGUUUGUCAACAAACUUUGAGAGUCAAAAGCUUGAGAGACAUGCACAUCAAAGACCAUGACAAAAAGGGAAGAAAAGCAACAACAGCACAGAAG